rnacentral:rRNA from 1 species
GAGUUUGAUCCUGGCUCAGGAUGAACGCUGGCGGCGUGCCUAACACAUGCAAGUCGAACGAAGCGUGCGGAUGGAAUUUCUUCGGAGAGGAAGCCUGCAUGACUGAGUGGCGGACGGGUGAGUAACGCGUGGGCAACCUGCCCUGCACAGGGGGACAACAGCCGGAAACGGCUACUAAUACCGCAUAAGCGCACAGCUUCGCAUGGAGCGGUGUGAAAAGCUGCGGCGGUGCAGGAUGGGCCCGCGUCUGAUUAGCUGGUUGGCGGGGCAACGGCCCACCAAGGCGACGAUCAGUAGCCGGCCUGAGAGGGUGGACGGCCACAUUGGGACUGAGACACGGCCCAAACUCCUACGGGAGGCAGCAGUGGGGAAUAUUGCACAAUGGGGGAAACCCUGAUGCAGCGACGCCGCGUGAGCGAAUAAGUAUUUCGGUAUGUAAAGCUCUAUCUACAGGGAAGAAAUUGACGGUACCUGAGUAAGAAGCUCCGGCUAAAUACGUGCCACCAGCCGCGGUAAUACGUAUGGAGCAAGCGUUAUCCGGAUUUACUGGGUGUAAAGGGAGCGUAGGCGGCCUGUCAAGUCUGAUGUGAAAUACCGGGGCUCAACCCCGGGGCUGCAUUGGAAACUGGCAAGCUGGAGUGUCCGACAGGCAUGCG